rnacentral:rRNA from 1 species
UACGGAGGGGGCUAGCGUUGUUCGGAAUUACUGGGCGUAAAGCGCACGUAGGCGGCUUUGUAAGUUAGAGGUGAAAGCCCGGAGCUCAACUCCGGAAUUGCCUUUAAGACUGCAUCGCUAGAAUUGUGGAGAGGUAAGUGGAAUUCCGAGUGUAGAGGUGAAAUUCGUAGAUAUUCGGAAGAACACCAGUGGCAAAGGCGACUUACUGGACACAUAUUGACGCUGAGGUGCGAAAGCGUGGGGAGCAAACAGG